rnacentral:rRNA from 1 species
GACGAACGCUGGCGGCGUGCUUAACACAUGCAAGUCGAACGGAAAGGCCUGUCCUUCCUUGUGUUGGACGGGUACUCGAGUGGCGAACGGGUGAGUAACACGUGAGUGAUCUGCCCCCAACUUGGGUAUAAGCCUGGGAAACUGGGUCUAAUUCCCGAUAGGACUGCAGGGUGGUGCCUGUGGUGGAAAACGAUUUUCUAGUGGUUGGGGAUGAGCUCGCGGCCUAUCAGCUUGUUGGUGGGGUAAUGGCCUACCAAGGCGGCGACGGGUAGCCGGCCUGAGAGGGUGGACGGGCACAUUGGGACUGAGAUACGGCACAGACUCCUACGGGAGGCAGCAGUGGGGAAUAUUGCACAAUGGGCGGAAGCCUGAUGCAGCGACGCCGCGUGGGGGAUGACGGCCUUCGGGUUGUAAACUCCUUUCGACCGCGAGGAAGCCGCCUGGUUGGAAGGGUGGUGACGGUAGUGGUAGAAGAAGCACCGGCUAACUACGUG